AUGCAGUCGAGCGGAAGGCCCCUUCGGGGGUACUCGAGCGGCGAACGGGUGAGUAACACGUGAGCAACCUGCCCCUGACUCUGGGAUAAGCCCGGGAAACUGGGUCUAAUACCGGAUGUGACCAGCCUCCGCAUGGAGUGCUGGUGGAAAGUUUUUCGGUUGGGGAUGGGCUCGCGGCCUAUCAGCUUGUUGGUGGGGUGAUGGCCUACCAAGGCGACGACGGGUAACCGGCCUGAGAGGGCGACCGGUCACACUGGGACUGAGACACGGCCCAGACUCCUACGGGAGGCAGCAGUGGGGAAUAUUGCGCAAUGGGCGGAAGCCUGACGCAGCGACGCCGCGUGAGGGAUGACGGCCUUCGGGUUGUAAACCUCUUUCAGCAGGGACGAAGCUAACGUGACGGUACCUGCAGAAGAAGCGCCGGCUAACUACGUGCCAGCAUGGCGG
rnacentral:rRNA from 1 species